rnacentral:rRNA from 1 species
CCUACGGGAGGCAGCAGUGAGGAAUAUUGGUCAAUGGACGAGAGUCUGAACCAGCCAAGUAGCGUGAAGGAUGACUGCCCUAUGGGUUGUAAACUUCUUUUAUAAAGGAAUAAAACGAGGCACGUGUGCCUUUUUGCAUGUACUUUAUGAAUAAGGAUCGGCUAACUCCGUGCCAGCAGCCGCGGUAAUACGAAGGAUCCGAGCGUUAUCCGGAUUUAUUGGGUUUAAAGGGAGCGUAGAUGGGUUGUUAAGUCAGUUGUGAAAGUUUGCGGCUCAACCGUAAAAUUGCAAUUGAUACUGGCAGUCGUGAGUACAGUUGAGGUAGGCGGAAUUCGUGGUGUAGCGGUGAAAUGCUUAGAUAUCACGAAGAACCCCGAUUGCGAAGGCAGCUUACUAAACUGUGACUGACAUUGAUGCUCGAAAGUGUGGGUAUCAAACAGGAUUAGAUACCCGGGUAGUC